rnacentral:lncRNA from 1 species
AAGUAUGUCCCAUAAAACCUUUCUUGCCUCUUUAUUCCCUUGACAUCUUGUAACAAGAUUAUAGGUAAGCCGCAUUACAUGAUUAUGAAAAACUAAUUCAAUUUUAGUGUAGUCCCCUUGUGUUGGCCCAUCUUCUUUAAUAUUAUAUAUCAAUUUUCUUCUUUGGGCCAUCAUUUCAUAAUAUAUCUUUCAGGAAUUCUAUUAACAUUCUUGAGGGCAUGUGAACAAAAUAUAAUCUAUUGAUUCAAACUUCUUACAUAUACAAGUAACCUCCAUAGUAGACAAGUUAAGUCCAACUAUCUAAAUUUUUGAACCCCUACCAUGCAUAAUCAACUCAAAUCUGCACAAUUGGCUGCCUAAUGCAAUUUUUUCAAAUGAUGAUGCACCACAUCCAUCAAGAAAUUUAUUCUCAAAUAAUUUAUAAAUCUUAUGUGUAUAAAUUUGGCUGCAUGCUUCAAAACUUCAGUAUGCUUAAUUAUACGUGUAGUACUUUGGUUGCAGUGAAAGUCUUCAUCGAUUUCAUU